CAACGAAUAUUGGGCAAUGGGCGAAAGCCUGACCCAGCGACGCCGCGUGCGGGAUGAAGCCCUUCGGGGUGUAAACCGCUGUCAGGGUUAGGGAAGCAAUGCGCGCAAAUAGUGCGCAAAGUUGACCCAUCCCAGAGGAAGCCACGGCUAACUCCGUGCCAGCAGCCGCGGUAAGACGGAGGUGGCGAGCGUUACUCGGAUUCACUGGGCUUGGAGCGGGUGCAGGCGGCUGCGCAAGUCCGGAGUGAAAUCCCUCGGCUCAACCGAGGAAUUGCUUUGGAUACUGCGUGGCUUGAGGCAGGUAGGGGCAAGUGGAACGUUUGGUGUAGCGGUGAAAUGCGUAGAUAUCAAACGGAACGCCGGUGGUGAAGACGGCGUGCUGGACCUGUCCUGACGCUCAGACCCGAAAGCGUGGGAAGUGAACC
rnacentral:rRNA from 1 species